ensembl:Mt_tRNA
GUUGGGGUGGCAGAGCCCGGUAAUUGCAUAAAACUUAAGCUUUUAUCCUCAGAAGUUCAAAUCCUCUCCCCAACA